rnacentral:rRNA from 1 species
UACGUAGGUGGCGAGCGUUGUCCGGAUUUACUGGGCGUAAAGCGCGUGUAGGCGGCUUUGCAAGUCGGGUGUGAAUCCCUCAGCUUAACUGAGGAAGUGCGCCCGAAACUGCUUUGCUUGAGUGCCGGAGAGGAUGGCGGAAUUCCCCAAGUAGAGGUGAAAUUCGUAGAUAUUCGGAAGAACACCAGUGGCGAAGGCGGCUCACUGGCCCGGUACUGACGCUGAGGUGCGGAAAGCGUGGGGAGCAAACAGGG